ACGCUCGACACCUACGGGAUGCAGCAGUGGGGAAUAUUGCACAAUGGGGGAAACCCUGAUGCAGCGACGCCGCGUGAGCGAAGAAGUAUUUCGGUAUGUAAAGCUCUAUCAGCAGGGAAGAAACUGACGGUACCUGACUAAGAAGCACCGGCUAAAUACGUGCCAGCAGCCGCGGUAAUCUGAGGCGGGCUGGCAAGGC
rnacentral:rRNA from 1 species